rnacentral:rRNA from 1 species
GACGAACGCUGGCGGCACGCCUAACACAUGCAAGUCGAGCGGGAUCUUGUGGAAUGAGUCUUCGGACAAGUGAAGCAAGUGAGAGCGGCGGACGGGUGAGUAACGCGUGAGUAACCUGCCCUAUACAGGGGGAUAGCCAUUGGAAACGGUGAUUAAUACCCCAUAAGACCACGCCAUCGCAUGAUGAAGUGGUAAAAACUGAGGGGGUAUAGGAUGGACUCGCGUCUGAUUAGCUAGUUGGUGAGGUAACGGCUCACCAAGGCGACGAUCAGUAACCGGCCUGAGAGGGUGAACGGUCAGACUGAGACGGAGACACGGUACAGACUCCUACGGGAGGCAGCAGUGGGGAAUAUUGCACAAUGGGGGAAACCCUGAUGCAGCGAUGCCGCGUGAACGAAGAAGGCUUUCGAGUCGUAAAGUUCUGUUCUUAGGGAAGAAAAUGACGGUACCUAAGGAGAAAGCACCGGCUAAAUACGUGCCAGCCGCCGCAGUAA